rnacentral:rRNA from 1 species
UACGGAGGUGGCGAGCGUUGUCCGGAAUCACUGGGCGUAAAGGCGCGUAGGCGGCCUGAUAAGUAGGGGGUGAAAUCCUGCGGCUUAACCGCAGGGCUGCCUUCUAACUGUCAGGCUUGAGCACAGUAGAGGCAGGUGGAAUUCCCGGUGUAGCGGAUGGAAUGCGUAGAGAUCGGGAAGAACAUCAGUGGCGAAGGCGGCCUGCUGGGCUGUGCUGACGCUGAGGCGCGACAGCG